rnacentral:rRNA from 1 species
AAUGAACGCUGGCGGCGUGCCUAAUACAUGCAAGUCGAGCGAACGGACGAGAAGCUUGCUUCUCUGAUGUUAGCGGCGGACGGGUGAGUAACACGUGGAUAACCUACCUAUAAGACUGGGAUAACUUCGGGAAACCGGAGCUAAUACCGGAUAAUAUUUUGAACCGCAUGGUUCAAAAGUGAAAGACGGUCUUGCUGUCACUUAUAGAUGGAUCCGCGCUGCAUUAGCUAGUUGGUAAGGUAACGGCUUACCAAGGCAACGAUGCAUAGCCGACCUGAGAGGGUGAUCGGCCACACUGGAACUGAGACACGGUCCAGACUCCUACGGGAGGCAGCAGUAGGGAAUCUUCCGCAAUGGGCGAAAGCCUGACGGAGCAACGCCGCGUGAGUGAUGAAGGUCUUCGGAUCGUAAAACUCUGUUAUUAGGGAAGAACAUAUGUGUAAGUAACUGUGCACAUCUUGACGGUACCUGAUCAGAAAGCCACGGCUAACUACGUG